rnacentral:rRNA from 1 species
CCUACGGGAGGCAGCAGUGAGGAAUAUUGGUCAAUGGGCGCGAGCCUGAACCAGCCAUGUAGCGUGAAGGAUGACUGCCCUACGGGUUGUAAACUUCUUUUAUAAAGGAAUAAAGUGAGGCACGUGUGCCUUUUUGUAUGUACUUUAUGAAUAAGGAUCGGCUAACUCCGUGCCAGCAGCCGCGGUAAUACGGAGGGUCCGAGCGUUAUCCGGAUUUAUUGGGUUUAAAGGGAGCGUAGAUGGGUUGUUAAGUCAGAUGGGAAAGUUUGGGGCUCAACCGGAGAAUUGCAAUUGAUACUGGCAGUCUUGAGUACAGUUGAGGGAGGCAGAAUUCGUGGUGUAGCGGUGAAAUGCUUAGAUAUCACGAAGAACACCGAUUGCGAAGGCAGCUUACUAAACUGCCACUGACGUUGAGGCUCGAAAGUGUGGGUAUCAAACAGGAUUAGAUACCCGAGUAGUC